UCACGGUUUCUGGCGGUGUGUUACUGUUCCAAAAACAUUUUUGGCGUUAUGUUUGCUGUAUGCUUACUGGAUUCCUUUGUUUGCAUGCGCCGCGGCAACAGUAGCUGAUUGAAUAUGGCGCUCCCCUCGCCCGUACGUCCGAGUUUCGGAGGUUUCCUUCUAGCAUACUCCUUAAGAUUUCUAUGUCAUCAGGUACCCGCGGAUGCGGCUGUAGAAUAUGUACCACUGCGCCCAUACACCAUGUUGCAAGCCCAUUGGCCGAGACUGUACACGCGCUCCGAUUGGUCCAACGCGGAUUAUUUUCGCGCGCACCUGCGUGCAUCGGCUUGGCGGUUUCGAUUUGACUCCUCUGGCCGUUACGGAGUGCUAUGGCGGCUACGGGGGCGUACUCCGUGAGAGCGUCCAGAGUGACCAGGGAUUACGUGAGAUACAAGUCGACCUUGACUGUCGAAGUAAAAGCGGCGCCGACUCUGAAGAAGUCUCAAGAAAAGGUUUGAGUAUCCGUUCUCGUGGGAAUUGGUCUUGGGGCAAAAGGAAGUGGACUGAAGUGAUGCGCACGAAAGGAGCACAAGGCAACACCCAAGGAUUCUCAAUGUCGACCAGAAUCUAUUUAAGUGCUUCCGUACUUGUUCGGUUUAUUAUCGAUGUCUGGCUGUCACACUACCAUGUUCACCAUGCCACUUGUGUGAGGAGCCGUGAGGCAAUGGCAGCACCGGAAGAUGAUCCACCAAGACGAAUCAAUUAUAUCAAAUGCAGAGUCAGCGGUUGCAAGAAUUCACGCCUGAACUGCAACCCUUCAUUUUUUUGGAUUCCCAGGAGACGAGAGGAAGUCUGCGUGGAUCGAGCACGCUGGUCAACCAGAAUAUGCCACUCUUCCACCUGAUCAGCUAAAACAUCAGAAGCUGUGCGAGGCGCAUUUCACAUCCGACGCUUUCACAAACAGGCAGAGGACACGUCUGAAAAGGACGGCUGUCCCCACUGUGCCUCUCCAGUCAGUGCAGGGUAGUUUCAUUUUAAAUCGAACAACGGAUGAAAGUCGUAUUUUUUAAUUCGCCCAGAAAAAAAUAUAUAUUAGAGGAUAGCUCAAACGAAGCAAAUCGCACCACGUGCGACGCUCGUGCGUGGGGUAGUUUCCGCGAGGAAGAGGAGGAAAGUCUGAGGCUGCUUGAGCGCGCUUUCUUCUGGACCGACUUUGACGGGAUCUAGCACCGCUGAUUUUAUGCCUAGGAACUGGAGGUUUUUUUGUGAUUAUAGGCUACACCAUAGACACUGUCGACAGCUACGCACAGAACUCUGAGGGCCACAGAUUUUCUGUUAAAAAAUGCCAAACUUGGCGUAAACGUUCAAAAAGGCCAAACUUUGUUACCAAUUUGCUUCAUGACGAACGUCUGAGGACAUCGAGCUUAGCGUCAUUCGAUAGGACGUUGAAAGACUUUUCGUGCUGUAUAAAGUUCAUUUUUGUCAGUCCA